rnacentral:rRNA from 1 species
GGUGGCGGGUGCUACGAUGCAGUCGAGCGGUAUAUACUGGAAUGAAACUUCGGUCGAGUGAAGGUAUAGAGAGCGGCGGACGGGUGAGUAACGCGUAGGCAACCUGCCCCAUACAGAGGGAUAGCCUCGGGAAACCGGGAUUAAAACCUCAUAAUGCGAGAGGUCCACAUGGACUUUUCGCCAAAGAUUUAUCGGUAUGGGAUGGGCCUGCGUCUGAUUAGCUAGUUGGUGGGGUAACGGCCUACCAAGGCAGCGAUCAGUAGCCGACCUGAGAGGGUAAUCGGCCACAUUGGAACUGAGACACGGUCCAAACUCCUACGGGAGGCAGCAGUGGGGAAUAUUGCACAAUGGGCGAAAGCCUGAUGCAGCAACGCCGCGUGAGCGAUGAAGGCCUUUGGGUCGUAAAGCUCUGUCCUUGGGGAAGAAAAAAAUGACGGUACCCUUGGAGGAAGCCCCGGCUAACUACGUGCCAGCAGCCGCGGUAAUACGUAGGGGGCAAGCGUUAUCCGGAAUUAUUGGGCGUAAAGAGUGCGUAGGUGGUUUUGUAAGCGCGGGGUGAAAGGCAAUAGCUCAACUAUUGUAAGCCCUGCGAACUGUGAGACUUGAGUGCAGGAGAGGAAAGCGGAAUUCCUAGUGUAGCGGUGAAAUGCGUAGAUAUUAGGAGGAACACCAGUGGCGAAGGCGGCUUUCUGGACUGUAACUGACACUGAGGCACGAAAGCGUGGGGGAGCAAACAGGAUUAGAUACCCUGGUAGUCCACGCCGUAAACGAUGAGCACUAGGUGUCGGGGCCGCAAGGUUUCGGUGCCGCAGUUAACGCA